UUCCAGAUUAACUAGCUUUGACCCUCCCUCCCUUUAUCUAUUUUCUUAGAUCGACUUAGACUGCCACAACAUAUUAUCUUUCUUCUUUUCUUUUCUUUUGAUCUUUUAAAGCCCUAAAUCGCUGGCUAUUUUGUAUACUAUAUAUUUUGUACACUCAAUUACUCUGUAAGUCAUAAGUACAUAUGUCUUACAACGUUAUUUGUCAUAUUUCAGUUAAACCCCAGAAAAGCCAGAAAUAUAUUUGCAGCGUGUUUUAACGCGUCCCUGGCAAAGAUCUGAAAAACGAGUUGCGACACAAUUUAAAGCGACAAAUAGCACCGCGUAUCUCGUUGUGGUAACACACGGUUCGCCAGCUUUUUAAAAGCGCUCUCCGUUUGCUUUUUCCUCUCUUCCCUGUCUCUUCGUUUUUUCUUAACGAGCAAAACCAUUUUCGCGAGGACGAGAGUACGGAAAUGACGUACUGGCAAUUUUGUUUUGUGAUAAUACAAGCAGCUUGGUUUCAGUGAAUUAAACUUGGGCCCAAGCUUCUACUUAUCCCUACCUUCCUUUCCUUUAUUUUCCCUUCUAUAUCCCGUGUUACUCGUGAAGACGAAUAAUGGUUCAGAUAGAUGAUAGGCAGAUUUUCGAGAACUAAAUAAAUAUACGGUCGCGGAUCGGUAUCCUUUACCCCUCAUUGCGGAUCGAGUCGCGAGAUUGCAAAAGCGAGAUAUUUUAUUAUUCUGGACAUGGCCGGUGGGUUUCUCCAAAUCCCUAUUCAUCCUAAUUCUAGGAAGUAUACAGCAUUGAUUACCCUGGAUGAACAAUUUGGAUAAUAAGUUGUUGUUUUCUUCGAAUUCUUUUGUGCCUUUGUUCGAUCCAUUCUAAGUCGAUCUAAGAAAAUAGAUAAAGGGAGGGAGGGGCAAAGCUAGUUAAUCUGGAAAGAAUCCAAGCGUCAAUUUCAAGCAUUUACAGAGAAUCAAGCGGGCUGGUUAAGGUCGUGAGUUGAGCAAUUAUCCCGCGUUAGGUUCAAUCAGAUACUUCUGGCUUGUGCAUUUCUUUUCGCUUUUCGUCGCUACUUACGACUCUUACGACUUACGUCUUACGACUAGGAACAUGUAUUGCAGUUUGAAACUUUACAUGAGAAUGAUGAUGAUUGCGGUCUGUAUACCGCCAGCAUUUCUUUUCAUCCUUCCAUUACAGACUGGUAAGUUGAUACUGAUUAAUUAUGCGAUCGAAAUCCUAUAUAAUGGCUACAAAAAAUAUUUGCAUCAUUAUUCUCGUUUCCUAAUGAAUCGCUGUUUUAAUCAAGUUUUAUAUUGCAUCAAAUUUCUGUAGUUACACGAAAGUACUAAAUUAUAGAAAACUUGAUAUACACGGAUUUAAUUAAUUGAUAAAUUAGUCAAUAUAUAGGCAUUAUUAUUUCACGUGAAAUUUUACAACGUCAAAAACCUAAUAUUCCUGUACGAGCAGUAUUAAUCACAAAUUGUGAGAAUGCCUACUGGUAAGGAAGAAAGAUAAUAUAGAAAACGCAGACUUGUGGAAAGAGAAUCCCUGACAUUAGACACGAAUACGCAAUUUCACGAAAUAUUUUAUGGUAUAUCUAAGAUAGAGAAUAUAUAUAGAGUACAUAUAAGUAUAUAUAGAGUAAGAAUAUAUAUAUAGAGUAUAUAUAAGUACCAAAAAUACAUCCUAAGACGUGUAUGCGAUCUACGCUGUAUGGGACGUGUUAUAAAUGGUUUCCGCCACUCAACCGCAUUUGAAUUUGUGAACACGAUCGAACAAUUGACACGAAUUAUUAAUUCCCGUCUCUACUCUAGUAACGAUUUGCUUUGGAACGAGGUCGAAUCGUUCUGAUUCCGCGCAUGAUUAACAAAUAAUUACAGAGGACAUCAAUUACUUGGAUGGUCUUCCUGAAACUUGAUCCAGUUUCGAGAAAAUGAAAAAUUCGUUUCUUCUCUUUACUUCCCUGUUCCUUCUUUCCUCCUUUUUCCCUUUUUACAUCGCUUUGUUUUACAUCGCAAUUUACAUUUAUUUGUAAAGUUUGAAUCUCCUCGAUAUUGAAGAUGUUGAAGCUGCAAGUAUGUAUUUCAUUUUAAUCCAUUCGAGACCGAGAUUUAAUUGUAAGACGAUACCUAGGUGUCGGUACGAUCUGAAUGUUUAGUUGGAAUGAUUCUGUGUUUUACUCUCUCCAGGGUAUCCUUUUCAUACUUUGAUUUUAAAUCGAUGACAAUCUUAUAUAGUAUGCCUCAUAUUUUU